ACGUAUUGAAAAUCCGCAAUACAUCUUCGCUUUUCGCAGUUCUCACAUAACUGAAGCGAACCGAUGUCUCAAUGAAGUGCAAACUGUUGGUUUGUUGAAAUGUUCCAAUUCUUAAUUUGUGUUUUGAUUAUAGAACGCUGAAAUGGGAAAGAUACCGAUUCAACACUCAAGUCCUCUGAUAGCGAAGUUGAUAUGCAUGUCAUGGACCAACUUCUGAAAAUGGUGCGCUGUUUCCGUCAUGAAAAGGAUAAUGCAGUAUCACGAUCUACAGUCCUGGAAACAUAAUUCUAGUGUCGGAAAACGCAAUUAGAAGAAGCGGAGCGCCAAGUUAUCAAAUUUCAGACCACCUUAAGUGAAAAACGAGAAGAACGAAAGGUCCUUAUUGAUAGCCAUCGGCUUUUGAAA